rnacentral:rRNA from 1 species
AUGAACGCUGGCGGCGUGCCUAAUACAUGCAAGUCGAGCGAACAGACGAGGAGCUUGCUCCUCUGACGUUAGCGGCGGACGGGUGAGUAACACGUGGAUAACCUACCUAUAAGACUGGGAUAACUUCGGGAAACCGGAGCUAAUACCGGAUAAUAUAUUGAACCGCAUGGUUCAAUAGUGAAAGACGGUUUUGCUGUCACUUAUAGAUGGAUCCGCGCCGCAUUAGCUAGUUGGUAAGGUAACGGCUUACCAAGGCAACGAUGCGUAGCCGACCUGAGAGGGUGAUCGGCCACACUGGAACUGAGACACGGUCCAGACUCCUACGGGAGGCAGCAGUAGGGAAUCUUCCGCAAUGGGCGAAAGCCUGACGGAGCAACGCCGCGUGAGUGAUGAAGGUCUUCGGAUCGUAAAACUCUGUUAUUAGCGAAGAACAAAUGUGUAAGUAACUAUGCACGUCUUGACGGUACCUAAUCAGAAAGCCACGGCUAACUACGUG